rnacentral:rRNA from 1 species
UACGGAGGGUGCAAGCGUUGUCCGGAAUUACUGGGCGUAAAGGGCUCGUAGGCGGCCAACUAAGUCAGACGUGAAAUCCCUCGGCUUAACCGGGGAACUGCAUCUGAUACUGGAUGGCUUGAGAUUGGGAGAGGGAUGCGGAAUUCCAGGUGUAGCGGUGAAAUGCGUAGAUAUCUGGAGGAACACCGGUGGCGAAGGCGGCAUCCUGGACCAACACUGACGCUGAGGAGCGAAAGCCAGGGGAGCAAACGGG